rnacentral:lncRNA from 1 species
GUGUGCGUUCGCGCAGCGGAAUGUUGUUGAAUUUAAAGAUUUUAAUUAUGCAGAUAAUUAGUGUAAGACGUCCUAUAAUUGUGUAUGGUAAAUAAAAAUUUGUGUAUGCAGCCAUUGUGGAGAAAUUCACUAAAAACAGAUUCCGCUGGGCGAACGUUGGCGAACGUUGUCCUGGCGGAACUUUUUUUAAUCCAUAGACUUUAGAAGAAAAGAGAUUUGUCCCAAAAUUAGUGUGUAUUUGUGUAUAAUUGAUUAUGUAUGAAUGAAAUUAGUGCAUGCAUAAACUUCGGAGAAAUUCAAGUUUCCGCUACGCGAACGUUUGGCCAUUAGCUAGUUUUCAUAUAAAGCGCUUACAUCGAGAGCUGUAGAUUUUUACAUACGUUGUUUUGAAUUUGUUUAUAUUUGUUUAAAAAACAGAUUUAGAAAAAGUCGUAGGGUUUAAAAGAUAAAAAUAUAAACGUAAAAUACACUUAUUAGGUCUUAGUUCUUAAAGUAUGCAGUUUGGGGUCUAGAUUUUCACGUGUACACAAACCUUGUAAGUGUCUCCAACAUGUUGCCAAGUAUCAAUGAUAUUCCGUUAGUAAUUAAAAAGUUACAGGAUAUUUUACCAUGAACAGAUCACUGUUUACAAAGCAGUCGAAUAUCACGACGUUCUAAAGGAUUUGCAUGGUAAAAUGUAUGCCAAUAAUUAGUUUAAUCAUUCAACUAUUCACUUGCAAAAUUUCAUGUCAUUAAAUUCAGUAAUUAAAGAAAGACAAUUAUAAUACUGACGGAGCAUCGAAACCCUACAUAAUCCGACCAAGUUCGGAUAGCUACAAAAAAGCGGCCGUGCCAUAUGUCUAAGCAACGUUCUUAACUUGGAAGGUUAGUAUAGAUAGUUCAACUCAGAUUUGCGCGCGGCCCUAUGUGUGCGUCGGCUUGUAAAUAUACAACUUUCAUUCGUGUGACAGUGACGUCGUCCGAGCAUGACGUGUUCUUAUCGCUUUUUGUUAUGGGUACAGUCGUUUACGAAAAUGUCUAGUUCUUCACGGAGAAAAUGUUUCAAAGGAGUCAGGUAGCGUUUCAAAAAAUGAAACAUUCAAAGCUUUUUAUUAUAACAUUUUACAGUUUUUCAUUAUUUUCUCAUACGUCUUUUCAAAUUGACAUUGACAGUGUCUAAGAAAUAAAUGACGUGAAAUAUCUAAGAUGAAUUAAAUACUCCUUACAUAUUUUCUAGCUCAGGGUACGCGGACAAUAAAUAAAAGUGUGGACUAAGAAUGUAAAAAAAAAACGUAAUCGUGUAUAAUAAUGUAAACAAAAUGUGUGGGGAAUUUUAAAAAAUUAUAUUGCUUCGCAUAAUGUCGACCAAAAUAAGACGGAAAUAAUGAAACUCAUAAAUGAACGUUUAAAUCAAAUUGAUUAACUGAUGUGGGGUAAUACUUGUCGACAUGUACAAAAGAAUAAAAAAGAAUACUAUAGACAUUUUGACAUGGAGUCAGAAUUUAUAAUUCACCUUGGAAAGUAGCGAAUCCAAAAAUUCAUCAUUUGAUUUUU